GGCUUCCCCAGGUUGAGGUUCGGCUAAGGCCUUCGGUCAAGGCCGCGGCCGGCUCAGCGGCGGCUGGCUCAGCGGCUCCCGGCAGCCAACAGUUGGCCCGCAAAGUGAGGCCGCACCGCGAUGGGUGAGGUCCGGUCCCGGCUGCCCUGGCCCGAGGGGCGACCUGCGGGGACCCAGGGACACGACAGGGGAGACCGAGGGGCCGGGAGAGCGGCUGGACGAUAAAGAUGUUGUUACACUGUGGCUUGGCUUAUGAAUAUGGAGGAUGACUAGAGGAGGAAUGGAGACAGCAGCAAUGUGCUACAUAGGUAGGUAAAACUGAAAACCCGAAGCCUCGAGCUGAAGUAAACAAAAAGUAAAAG